GACGUAGGGGGCGAGCGUUGUCCGGAUUUAUUGGGCGUAAAGCGCUCGUAGGCGGCUUGUCGCGUCGACUGUGAAAACCCGCGGCUCAACCGUGUGGCUUGCAGUUGAUACGGGCAGGCUAGAGUUCGGUAGGGGAGACUGGAAUUCCUGGUGUAGCGGUGAAAUGCGCAGAUAUCAGGAGGAACACCGGUGGCGAAGGCGGGUCUCUGGGCCGAUACUGACGCUGAGGAGCGAAAGCGUGGGGAGCGAACAGG
rnacentral:rRNA from 1 species